UUUCCGUAGGUGAACCUGCGGAAGGAUCAUUAACAAAUCCUGCUGCAGUGCCGCAAGGUGCUGUAGUAUAUUAACUCGGCCAGUGUCGCAAGAUGCUGGCUGAUCAUAUAAAUGUGUGUAAUGUGUUGACAAUGUGUGUGUGAUUAAAUAGUAGACAACUUUUAACAAUGGAUCUCUAGGCUCUU
rnacentral:misc_RNA from 1 species